rnacentral:lncRNA from 1 species
UGGGUAUCGUUACUGAUAUACCAUAUCAGUGGUAUCAUCGGUAACGGUCGCGUUGCCACGUCAGUGUCGGUCGAGCGACGGACACUGAUACAUUUUCAGUAUUUAAAAAAAUAAUUAAAACCACAGAAAAUACACAGGAAAUACACAGAAUAAUAUAUACAGCACAGCCCAGCACAUCACAGCACAGAAAAAUACACAUAAAGCCGCAUCACAUCACAGCACAGCACAACAAAUCACAUCAUUUAAAGCAUACAAAUGUAUAUAAAGCCAAAUCAUUUAAAACAUAUAAAGAAUACAAAUGUAUCUCACUUCACGACAUUGAUUACAAAGUGUCAAAAUUUCAUAAAAGCAUAUAAAGAAUACAAAUGUAUUUCAUUUCAAGUUUGAAGCUAUUGUUGUGGGUGAACCCUAGACACCACUUGUUCCACGCAUUCGUAGAAGUCCCUAUUAGGCUUGAUGACCUCAUUGUUGAUGAGAUGGGCGAACUCCCUUUGAAUGUUAUACACGACCCAUUUAGGUCAGUGUCCCAUUGUCAUUCGGAGCCGCCAGUACUCUUCCAUCGCCGCGACUGACCCCUUCCACUCAGGCUUGGACAUGCUGGCAUUCUCCAUGAGAAUGUGACAGUAGUAGCAGCCACAGAACACACUAUCGAGCGGCUGUUGCUGGCAAGGGAACCUGUGGUUGUGGUGAGGCUCGUCUUUAUAGCCUUUACCAGCUAGUUUUCCCUUGGUCGCCACUUUCCAAGCAGUGUUAAUGAGUGAUUUGAUGGGUUUCCAGAACCGACCUCGAACACCCUUCUUCGAAAGUAGUGAAUCGAAGUAGUACACCACGGACAAAGGCAAACAAAUGAGUAGUGUCACCCAAUGGUCUCUGUUUUAAAAAAAAAAAACUUUAGUAUCUAAGGAUGUAUAAGAAAGACUGAAUUAGAAAAAACAAACGGUUCCAUAUAUAAAAUUGAACUUACUCAAAAUUAAGGAAGAAGAGGAUAAAGUUGUGGUCCGCGUAUUUCUCGAGACAUGCCACCAAGUAUUUAGAUGCCAGGGUUCUUGAGGGAUCCUUUUCUGACUCAAGACCGAUGUCACCGUAGUUGAACAUCGCGGAGUUUAGAAUGGCUACUUUUUUGACCUCCAUUCGCCGCAAUUCUCUUAUUUGGUAGGCAGACCACAGCCUUAAGAGGUUGAUAUCAAGCUUUUGGCGGUUG